AGACAGAAAGAAGGAAGCUUGUCGAAACUGACCUACUCUCUGUUCGACUGCCUGGUUUUUUUUUUUUUUUUUUUUUUUUUUCAAUUGGUUCGUUCCUCGAGAACUCUGCUCAGUGGUAAGCGUAAAAGGAGAGAGAGUUGUUGUCGAUAA
rnacentral:ribozyme from 1 species